rnacentral:rRNA from 1 species
CCAAUCGAACUCGGAGAUAGCUGGUUCUCCCCGAAAUAGCUUUAGGGCUAGCGUUGAUUUAGAUUACCGGAGGUAAAGCACUGAAUGGGCUAGGGGGCGAUAAGCUUACUGAACCCUAUCAAACUCUGAAUGCCGGCUAAUUGAUGAUCAGCAGUCAGACAGUGUGAGAUAAGUUUCAUUGUCAAAAGGGAAACAGCCCAGACCCACAGCUAAGGUCCCAAAUGUAUGUUAAGUGGAAAAGGAUGUCCAGUUGCACAAACAACCAGGAUGUUGGCUUAGAAGCAGCCACACAUUCAAAGAGUGCGUAACAGCUCACUGGUCGAGUGACCGGGCGCCGAAAAUGUAACGGGGCUAAACAUAUAACCGAAGCUUGGGCUGCACAGCAAUGUGCGGGGUAGGGGAGCGUUGUGUGCGGGGUGAAGCAUGAGCGGAAGCGCGUGUGGACUGCACAGAAGUGAGAAUGCCGGAAUGAGUAGCGCGAAUUAUGUGAGAAUCAUAAUGGCCGAAAGCCUAAGGUUUCUGGAGGAAGGUUCGUCCGCUCCAGGUUAGCCGGGAGCUAAGGUGAGGCCGAAAGGCGUAGCCGAUGCACAUACGGUGGAGAUUCCGUAGCCAUCAAAAGAUUUAAGCAGAGGGACACAGUAGAAGGGUACAUGCCGGGCGUUGGUAGCCCCGGUUGCAAGGGACCGAAAUUAGAGUAGGGAAGAUGGACUUGGAUACUGGCGAGAAAAGCUCUGUGGAUAUCUGCGAUGCCCGUACCGCAAACCGACACAGGUAGGUAGGAAGAGGAUUCUAAGGCCAACGGGAGAAGGGUUGUUAAGGAACUCGGCAAGUUGACCCCGUAACUUCGGGAGAAGGGGUGCUCCAGAGAUGGAGCCGCAGAGAAUCGGCCCAAGCAACUGUUUACCAAAAACACAGGUUUGUGCUAAAUCGAAAGAUGACGUAUACGAGCUGACGCCUGCCCGGUGCUGGAAGGUUAAGAGGAGAUGUGCAAGCAUUGAAUCGAAGCCCCAGUGAACGGCGGCCGUAACUAUAACGGUCCUAAGGUAGCGAAAUUCCUUGUCAGGUAAGUUCUGACCCGCACGAAAGGCGUAAUGAUUUGGGCACUGUCUCAACAGCCCGCCCGGCGAAAUUGUAGUACCGGUGAAGAUGCCGGUUACCCGCGACAAGACGGAAAGACCCCAUGGAGCUUUACUGUAGCCUAAUAUUGGGUUUCGAUGUUGCAUGCACAGGAUAGAUGGGACACAGGGAAACAAGUGCUUUGGCAUUUGUGGAGUGGCCGUUGGGAUACCAUCCUUGCGAUAUUGGAAUUCUAACCUGCGCCUUUGAAUCAAGGCGGGGGACAUUGUUAGGUGGGCAGUUUGACUGGGGCGGUCGCCUCCUAAAGAGUAACGGAGGCGUUCAAAGGUUCGCUCAGCUUGAACGGAAAUCAAGCAAAAGAGUGCAAACGCAGAAGCGAGCCUAACUGCGAGACUGACGGGUCGAGCAGUAACGAAAGUUGGAGUUAGUGAUCCGGUGGUAUGUGAGUGGAAAUGCCAUCGCUCAACGGAUAAAAGCUACCCUGGGGAUAACAGGCUGAUCUCCCCCAAGAGUCCACAUCGACGGGGAGGUUUGGCACCUCGAUGUCGGCUCAUCGCAUCCUGGGGCUGUAUUCGGUCCCAAGGGUUUGGCUGUUCGCCAAUUAAAGCGGUACGCGAGCUGGGUUCAGAACGUCGUGAGACAGUUCGGUCCCUAUCUGUCGUGGGCGCAGGAUAUUUGAUGGGAGCUGUUCCUAGUACGAGAGGACCGGAGCGGACGUACCUCUGGCGCACCAGUUGUUCUGCCAAGGGCAUAGCUGGGCAACUAUGUACGGAUCGGAUAAACGCUGAAAGCAUCUAAGCGUGAAGCCGACCCAAAGAUAAGAUAUCCCAUUGUUUCAAACAAGUAAGACCCCUUGAAGACUACAAGGUUGAUAGGCACGAUGUGUAAGUGGAGUGAUCCAUUCAGCAAGCGUGUACUAAUAGGUCGAGGGCUUGACCAC